UGAGAUGCCAGGUGACUUAGUUGAUAGCAUUGAUCCAGAGAAAGAUGGCCGAUACCAUUGGAUUAUCAAUCAUAUUCCCCUUGUACAAAUUCGUCAGAAUUUUGGACCAAAAUUUCAUGAGUAUACUUUGCGCCGCAUUCCUACCCAAUCAAUAUCUGAAUAUCAAGGUACUCUUUUCCCUAACAAUGAAUGUUAUGCUUCUCUAGUGAAUGUUUGAAAUUAAAGUGCCACCCUAACCAAAGUACCUUUUUUCAAAUUUUCAUUUAAUUCUUCAAGUAAAUUUAUGCUUUAAUGCAUGCACAAAUUGUUGAAAAUAUAACAAGUGUGAGUUUGUGGAAAUAGUCCCACAUUGGAUAGGAAUGUGGUGACUUGAGCAUUUAUAAGUGGGAGAACUCACUCACCUAUCACCUUAAGGUUUUGGGUGAACAAGUGGUGUNNNNNNNNNNNNNNNNNNNNNNNNNNNNNNNUGAAGUGAGUUAACGGCGGUACAAAGUGUAUGUGGAAGAAAGUGCUUCCACUUGAGGGGAGCAUUGUGGACUCACACUUGAGGGGGAGUGUUGAAAAUAUAACAAGUGUGAGUUUGUGGAAAUAGUCCCACAUUGGAUAGGAAUGUGGUGACUUGAGCAUUUAUAAGUGGGAGAACUCACUCACCUAUCACCUUAAGGUUUUGGGUGAACAAGUGGUGUGUCUCCCACAAAAGGUGUGUUGCUCAAAAGAACAAGAGUCACAAAAGUAAAUGCUCCUCGCUCGACCCUCCCCCGAUUGUUGCGCCAACACAAAUUUCAUGAGUUACAUGAAUGUUUGCAUAUAUUUUAUUUCAAGUAAAUUUAUGCUUUAAUCCAUGCACAACUAUCCUAAGAAAAGUUCAAGUUGAUGGUGUAUAUGUAAUAUCUAUCUGCAUAUAACAGUUGAAUGAAAGUUUCAAUAUUUCUGUAUUUCUAAUUUUAUGUAUAAUAUUUUUACAUUUCUGAAAGUUGCUAUAUUAUUGUGUAUGAUAUGAUGUUUAUAUUUUUAUUUUGUUAUGUAUGUUUGUAUUAUAUACUGAUGUCUGAUACUUGCUAACUUUAAUCGGCUCUUUCGUUAAUCAUGUAACAAGAUUAUUUAUCUGCUCAAUUUUGACAGUUUCUUCUGUCCAUGUAAACAGAUUCAAAUUCUCCAUGAUGCAGCUCACAACAAGAUGCACUUUGAACUCUAUUAAUUGUCAAUUUGUUUGGGCUUUCUUUUUCUGUUUUCUGUCAUUUGUGGUGUGGAUGCUUUUCUAAAUAUAUGUGUAUUAACUUCUUUCAUAUUUCAUUAAGCUAUUUUUCUUUGUAUGCACUGCACUCUUUUUCCCUGAGAAGGUUUUUAACGAGGCAGUUGUUUCUAUUUAUUUCCUCCUUGGGUUUUGGUCUAAUCCCCCAAAGAUGUUUGUCAUCUAUUGUAAUUUUUAAUAAUAUUUUACUUUAAACUCUUGAUUUAGGUUAUUAGGAGGAGAGGUGUCCAACGUAGUUGAGACGCCUCAUCUCCAUAUUUAUGCCUCAUUGUGAUCUACAAUUAUACUAAAGAAUCGUUCCCGCCCUUAUGAAGCACGGACACCGGACACGACUUGACACCAAUAAUAAUUUAAGAAAAUGACAUAAUUUUCAGUGUAAUAUAAGUGUUGGUAUUGUGUCGGUGUCUGACACUCCGUGUCUGACAUUGGGACACUGUCUAAUUUAAGGAGUGUUCGUGCUUCAUUGUUGCCACUUAAUAUCUUGUGGCGUCUAUUCCAUUCUAAUCCACAAAUAGUAAGAAGCUAAGACAACAAUGAUUACAACAACUAACUACUACAGAUACAAUACUAAUGAUAAAAUAUAAAUAACCCUAAUUUAUCAUAAUCUAUGAUGAUGUUUUCUUCCACCGAUUGAAAAUAGUUUACAAAGAAGUGAAGAUGAAUGAAAUAUGAAAUUGUGAAGAAUUAAUAAUAUUAUAUAGUAGUGAGUGAAGAAAUUACAUCUGAAUCCUUAAACGCUGAUCUGAGGAAUCGGCGAAGAGAGAAUCGAAGGUCACCAUAGCAGCAGCAGUUUGUGUAAUCCAUUUCUUCACCAAUUCAUUCCAAGAGCUGUACGCGGGAAUAUAACGUUACAUACUAAUAAAAAAAAAAACUGAUUAAACCGAAAAAUCAAAUUGAAAGUUAACCGAUUUAGUUUAGUUCGGAUUAUUAAUAACCAAAAAAUUAUUCUUCCAAGUUCACACAAACACCUAUGAAGUGACAAGACACUGUGUCAAGGAAUGGCUUUAAGAUUUUCUUAUUUUAUUUAAGAUUUGUUAUCCCACAAACCUACUUGGGUUCGAUCGCAGUGUUGGCUUGAACUUAGGCUUAGUUUGAUUGGAAAGUAAGAUGAUUUUUUAGUUGUUUGGUACGAGUGAAAGUGAAUAGAACGUGAAAGAAAAGAAAAAGAUAGUAA
rnacentral:lncRNA from 1 species